AAUCUAUUUAAUUAUUUUCAAUUUUAGCACAUAAAAAAAUAUUAUUACUGUAUCUUUUAAUAGCUGAUGACAAAUUUCAUACUUUCCAUUAUGCAUUCAAGGACCUUGAUUCCGCUACUGUGUCAAAUUAUUUCAAGCCUUUUGGUGGAGGAAUGAGACAAUGUCCCGGGGCUGAGAUAAGUAGAGCUUUCUUGGCUACUUUCAUUCAUGUCUUGGUCACAAAAUAUAGGUUUACAAAAGUCAGGGGAGGGAGAAUUGUUCGGGAUCCCAUGCUAGGAUUUCGCGGUGGAGUUCAUAUCAAAAUUUGGGAGAAGCCAGUUCAUAACUAAAAUUAAAGCAGAAAGCUAUAUAUAUUUGAAUGGAUAUGAAAAGAGUGAAGUUAGUAUGUGUUGUGAAAUAAAGAAUGAACAUUGAAAAGAAGACUCAAUGCUCAUAGGAAAGCUUAUAUAUAAUAUGUUUGUAAUA